rnacentral:rRNA from 1 species
AUGCCAUGUCCGUCUUUAAAAUUCCUAAAAAAACUUUGCAAAGGAAUUAUUGACGCGAUGUCGCAGUUUUGGUGGGGCGACGAGGACAAUCAGAAGAGGAUGCAUUGGAUGGCAUGGUGGAAAAUGUGUGUUCCAAAAGAUCAAGGAGAUAUGGGCUUCCAAGAUAUACACUGUUUCAACCUAGCGCUAUUAGCUAAAUAA